UUAUGUGAAAAAACAAUGUGUAAUUAAUACAGUGUGGAAAUGAACAAUAAGUUUGUUUCAAAAGAGGUUCAAAGUGGCUGGUUACUGUGUUUUGGUCUCUGAUGAUUCUUCACCAAAUUCAUGUGUUUUUGGAAUACUACAGAACAGCAUAAAAGAUUAUAUCAUAGGAUGGGGGAAAAAAGGGAGACUGCAACAGCUGAGCAGCACAAAAGCAGACAGCGUACAAACCAACACCAGUACAGCUUACAUAUGGUGUAGUGGAAGCCAAUAAGUUUAACAUGAAGUUUCCACCCAAUGGCUUGCAGUUGGACCACUGUGAUCAAAGUCUGCAAGGGACUUAUCAUUGGGAGGAAUGUUAGACGAGCUCUGGUGUUAAAAAGGUUCACCUUCAUCCAGAGCACGAAGUGUACAUUACUCAGUGGCAACUUUCACAAGAACGGCAUGCUGGAGCCUAUAUCAACAAAAGUUAACAAUUGCUCUGCUGGAUCUCCUUUUCAGCAGGGAACAACUUGCUAAGUCCAGCAACAAUGGGUCUGGGAAAGCCAAUAAUACUUUAAUAUCAACAACAUGUUUGCCUUGUGUUGCCACACAGGCUGUGAAACAUUUUGUGUUGAAUGCAUUUAAAAAAGACAAUG